CAGUCGUGAGGAAGGUAGUGUAGUUAAUAGCUGCAUUAUUUGACGUUAGCGACAGAACGAAGCACCGGCUAACUCCGUGCCAGCAGCCGCGGUAAUACGGAGGGUGCGAGCGUUAAUCGGAAUUACUGGGCGUAAAGCGCAUGCAGGUGGUUUGUUUAAGUCAGAUGUGAAAGCCCGGGGCUCAACCUCGGAAUAGCAUUUGAAACUAGGCAGACUAGAGUACCUGUAGAGGGGGGUAGGAAUUUCCAGGUGUAGCGGUGAAAAUGCGUAGAGAUCUGAAGGAAUACCGGUGGCGAAGGCGGCCCCCUCGGACAGAUACUGACACUCAGAUGCGAAAGCGUGGGGAGCAAACAGGAUUAGAUACCCUGGUAG
rnacentral:rRNA from 1 species